rnacentral:rRNA from 1 species
UACGGGAGGCAGCAGUGGGGAAUAUUGCACAAUGGGCGCAAAGCCCUGAUGCAGCCAUGCCGCGUGUAUGAAGAAGGCCGUUCGGGUUAGUAAAGUACUUUCAGUCGUGAGGAAGGUGUUAAGGUUAAUAACCUUAGCAAUUGACGUUAGCGACAGAAGAAGCACCGGCUAACUCCGUGCCAGCAGCCGCGGUAAUACGGAGGGUGCGAGCGUUAAUCGGAAUUACUGGGCGUAAAGGGCACGCAGGCGGUUAAUUAAGUUGGAUGUGAAAUCCCCGGGCUUAACCUGGGAAUGGCAUUCAAGACUGGUUAGCUAGAGUCUUGUAGAGGGGGUAGAAUUCCAUGUGUAGCGGUGAAAUGCGUAGAGAUGUGGAGGAAUACCGGUGGCGAAGGCGGCCCCUGGACAAAGACUGACGCUCA